UUUUUCUUUCUGGUUACUUUGGUGUACUGCAAAACCUGUACAUACUAUUUCUUGCGGUGCACGAUUCUAAUAGUUACUUGGCUGACAAGAACCUGUCAAGUUUCUGUGUACCCACUUUGAUUUUUAUUAAGGCAUGCAUUUUUUUUUUUAAUUGACUGAAAUAAUAUAUUUACUAAAAAUUAAGUCUGAAUACAAUGCAUAGAUUUCAUGAAUUGCUUGAUUGUACUAAAAUACACCAGUGCUAGAAGCAAAUAUACUAAUGAAAUGGAUAAAUAAUAGUCCAUGUGAACAUCUGAACCUUGAAAAGAG